GCCUCUAGCGUAAUGGUUAGGGCUUCCGAGUAGCACUUCCAGGUCCUGGGUUCGAUCCCCCUCGGGGGCG
rnacentral:tRNA from 7 species